rnacentral:tRNA from 1 species
UGCUUCGGCCGGGAAUCGAACCCAGGCCGCCCGCGUGGCAGGCGAGCAUUCUACCACUGGACCACCGAUGC